AGAACAAAUUUCCCCAUCUCAAGCGAAUCCCUCCCACAGAUCCCCCGCCGUGCUCGAGCGCGAGCGCCUUCUCGCUCCCUCGUCCAAGAAGCAGGCACGAGCAGGCGCCCCUCUCCCGUAGCUCGAAUUUGAGUGAGUCGAGCGAGCGCUUCCUCGCACCCUCGCUGGCGAUCUGCAGCAGGACCCCGCUGGAAGUACCAACUCCAACACAACAAUGGCGCCGCCCAUGGAUCUCAGAACUGCCGCUGUCACGCCCGCGUCAUUCGGAACCUUCACCGACACAUGCCGUCGCGAUCUUGCAUGUGCGUGUCAGCACCACAACAAUGGCGCUGCCCAGAUCUCAGAACUCCCGUCGUCAUGCCCGCGUCAUUCGUCGGAAUCUUCACCGACGCCCGUCGUCACGAUUCUGCAUGUGCGUGUCAGCGGGAGCAUCUCCCACGUUGGCCUCGACCGCCUCUCGCCGUCUCCCUCUCUUUGAGUCACAGGCCGGCGGCGAGCUCGUGGCAUGAAGGCCCGACGGCCAUGGCUUCCUGCGAAGGAGAGAGAGAGAGAAAAGAGAGGGAGGUGAGAGAUAGAAGUGGAGGGCCAGGAGGGAAGGAGAGGAGGGCAGGGUUGGCGCCUUAGUCCGACGGCGGCGCUCUGGUGGCUGGCCGGCGCGGGGCGGCGGGGAGGCUCGAGCGCGAGCCCGCGCGUGAAGGCGCUGGGCGCGGUCGGCGGUGGCGGACGCAGGAUCGCGGGUUGAAUGCAAAUAAACAAAGGGUGUUUUUGUAAAAAUGAAACGUUUUCUUAGGUCCAUUUAAAAUAGAACUGCGGGUUGAAUAUCUAAAAACAUAAGGGUUUUUCUGGAAAAUUGUCGCGGCGUUAUUAGGGAAGAUUUAGUGAGUUUCCAUACAUAAUUCACGAGAUAACGUCAGCCGCACGAUCUUAUGAUCGAUAGACAGCUGAGAGCGCACCUGAGCCUCUUAGCUACUAACAGGCACGCCCUGGCUAUCAAAUUGCCUUCAACCUCCAGCCAAGAAGCAUAGGCAUGCCUCCACCCACGUUAAUGCGCACUCUUGCACGCCCUGCAAGAUCGUGCACCUCAACGGCCAUGCCGCCAUUCUUUAUAUGUAACAUCCUAAUUUUUAAUUUGGAUGUUAAUUAAUCAUUUAGGUCAUCAUAUGCAUUCAUGAUUCUUGCAUUUUUUGAAUUGGUUUUAUUUGGACAGUUUGAUUCUAAAGAUCUUAAGCAAAUCAAGGACCAUUUGAGAGAGUUGGAGGUUUUCAUAAAAUUCCAUUUUUGAAAUUUUUAAAAUUGGUAAACUGGAUCAAAGAGAAUUUUAUUUGAAAUUAUUUUUUCCAAAUUAUUUCCAAAUAAAUAAAUAAUGAGAGAAGAUAAUAUUACUUCUUCAAAACAGAGAAAAUAAUGGAAAUUUAAUUUUAAAUAAAAAUAUUUAUUUUAUUGGAUUUUUAUUUGAGAUUUUAUUCAAGUAAAUUAGGGAAAAUCGCAUUUUAUUACAGAAAAAUGUUUACGUGGUCCUAAAUAUUAGUAGAGGGCCGUGAAAAUUGUUUUGGGAUUUUAGGGUUUUUAUUUAUUUUAUUUUUGGAUUUUUCCGUUCGCGCGAAAUUAUAAUUUUAUUUUAAAAUAAAUCUUUCGGACCGACCGGGCCGAAGGCCCAGCUGGCCUAGCCACCGCCGCCUUCCCCGUCGUGGCCGACCGGGACUCCACCGGAGUCCGGCACCGACAUGGCCCCGGCUGGCCCCUCCCGCAAGCCGUCACCCCCCGACCUUUAUAAGGAGCCGGACCCCCAACCCCCUCCUCCUCAGCCGCCGCACCCCGCCACCGCCUGCCACCGCCGCCGUAGCCGCCCAUGCCUCCUGCAGUAGCCGCCGCCUGCGCCGCGCCGCCACCCCGCGCCACCUCCCGCGCCACGUCGCCGCCACCGCUCGCUGCCACGCCUCGCCCAACUCGCCGGAGCCGCUCCCGCCGUCGUCGGUGAACGUCGCCGCCGCCGUCGGUUUUUCCGACCCGAACCGAGUUUCCAAAGUGCGAGGCUUGCUACUACGAAUCUCUAGGGUUUUCCGAUCGUCAGCAA